UGAGUACGAGAUGCUACGGCAUCGAAGCAGUCUAUGUCAUACUUCCAAGAAAAGCUCGCACUGUCAUAAACAAAUUAAUGCCUGUACCAUAACCGACACAGGUGGGUAGGUAGAGUAUACUAAGGGGCGCGAGAUAACUCUCUCUAAGGAACUCGGCAAAAUGACUCCGUAACUUCGGGAGAAGGAGUGCCUUAUUUAUAAGGUUGCAAUAACCAGAUCCAAGCAACUGUUUAUCAAAAACACAGGUCUCCGCUAAGUCGUAAGACGAUGUAUGGGGGCUGACGCCUGCCCAGUGCCAGAAGGUUAAAGAAGUUGGUUAGCAUUUGCGAAGCUAGUGACUGAAGCCCUGGUGAACGGCGGCCGUAACUAUAACGGUCCUAAGGUAGCGAAAUUCCUUGUCGGGUAAGUUCCGACCCGCACGAAAGGCGUAAUGAUUUGGAUACUGUCUCAGAGAGGGGCUCGGUGAAAUAGACUUGUCUGUGAAGAUGCGGACUACCUGCACCUGGACAGAAAGACCCUAUGAAGCUUUACUGUAACUUGAAAUUGAAAUUGGACUUUAUUUGCGCAGCAUAGGUGGGAGGCGUUGAGAAUAUUCUUGCGGGAAUUUAGGAGCCAUCAGUGAGAUACCACUCUUGUAAUGUUAGAUUUCUAACUUUGGAUCAUUAUCUGGUCAAAGGACAGUUUCAGGCGGGCAGUUUGACUGGGGCGGUCGCCUCCUAAACGGUAACGGAGGCGCACAAAGGUUUCCUCUGAACGGGUAGAAAUCGUAUCUAGAGUGUAAAGGCAUAAGGAAGCUUGACUGUGAGACCUACAAGUCGAGCAGGGACGAAAGUCGGUCUUAGUGAUCUGACGGUGCUGAGUGGAAAGGCCGUCACUCAACGGAUAAAAGUUACUCUAAGGAUAACAGGCUGAUCUCCCCCAAGAGUUCACAUCGACGGGGAGGUUUGGCACCUCGAUGUCGGCUCAUCGCAUCCUGGGGCGGUAGUACGUCCCAAGGGUUGGGCUGUUCGCCCAUGAAAGCGGUACGCGAGCUGGGUUCAGAACGUCGUGAGACAGUUCGGUCCAUAUCCGGUGUAGGCGUUAGAAUAUUGAGAGGAGCCUUCUUUAGUACGAGAGGACCGAGAAGGACAUACCUCUGGUGUACCAGUUAUCGUGCCAACGGUAAACGCUGGGUAGCUACGUAUGGAGUGGAUAACCGCUGAAAGCAUCUAAGUGGGAAGCCCACCUCAAGAUAAGUAUUCUC
rnacentral:rRNA from 1 species